CAAAGGGAGCAAUCCCGGCCACGGAUGGGCAUGCGGCGCAUUAGCUAGUCGGCGGGGUAACGGCCCACCGAGGCGACGAUGCGUAGGGGUUCUGAGAGGAAGGCCCCCCACACUGGUACUGAGACACGGACCAGACUCCUACGGGAGGCAGCAGUGAGGAAUAUUGGUCAAUGGGCGCGAGCCUGAACCAGCCAAGUCGCGUGAGGGAGGACGGCCCUACGGGUUGUAAACCUCUUUUGCCGGGGAGCAACGGGCGUCACGUGUGGCGCCACUGAGAGUACCCGGAGAAAAAGCAUCGGCUAACUCCGUGCCAGCAGCCGCGGUAAUACGGAGGAUGCGAGCGUUAUCCGGAUUUAUUGGGUUUAAAGGGUGCGUAGGCGGAUCGUUAAGUCAGUGGUCAAAUUGAGGGGCUCAACCCCUUCCCGCCAUUGAAACUGGCGAUCUUGAGUGGAAGAGAAGUAUGCGGAAUGCGUGGUGUAGCGGUGGAAUGCAUAGAUAUCACGCAGAACCCCGAUUGCGAAGGCAGCAUGCCGGCUUCCGACUGACGCUGAAGCACGAAAGCGUGGGGAUCGAACAGGAUUAGAUACCCUGGUAGUCCACGCGGUAAACGAUGAGCGCUAGGUGUCCGGGGGGAAUGGCCCCUGG
rnacentral:rRNA from 1 species